CAGCGCCUGCAAAGAUCUGAUAGACCGCAUGCUUCAGAGGGAUCCCAAGCGACGGGCUUCCCUGGAGGAGAUUGAGAGCCAUGCGUGGCUGCAGGG